UACGUAGGGACCAAGCGUUGUCCGGAAUCAUUGGGCGUAAAGAGCGUGUAGGCGGCCUGUUAAGUCUGGCGUGAAAUCUCGGGGCUCAACCCCGAGCGGUCGUGAGAAACUGGCAGGCUAGAGUGCGGGAGAGGAGAGUGGAAUUCCUGGUGUAGCGGUGAAAUGCGCAGAUAUCAGGAAGAACACCCGUGGCGAAGGCGGCUCUCUGGACCGCACCUGACGCUGAGACGCGAAAGCGUGGGGAGCAAACAGG
rnacentral:rRNA from 1 species